GAUGAACGCUAGCGACAGGCCUAACACAUGCAAGUCGAGGGGCAGCAUAAGAAUAGCAAUAUUCUGGUGGCGACCGGCGCACGGGUGAGUAACACGUAUGCAACCUGCCUGUAAGAGGGGAAUAACCCGGAGAAAUUCGGACUAAUACCGCAUAAUACCACGAAGCUGCAUGGCUUUGCGGUUAAACAUUUAUGGCUUACAGAUGGGCAUGCGUAUGAUUAGCUAGUUGGUGAGGUAACGGCUCACCAAGGCAACGAUCAUUAGGGGUUCUGAGAGGAAGGUCCCCCACACUGGUACUGAGACACGGACCAGACUCCUACGGGAGGCAG
rnacentral:rRNA from 1 species